rnacentral:rRNA from 1 species
GAUGAACGCUGGCGGCGUGCUUAACACAUGCAAGUCGAACGGGAAACCUUUUAUUGAAGCUUCGGCAGAUUUAGCUGGUUUCUAGUGGCGGACGGGUGAGUAACGCGUGGGUAACCUGCCUUAUACAGGGGGAUAACAACCAGAAAUGGUUGCUAAUACCGCAUAAGCGCACAGGACCGCAUGGUCCGGUGUGAAAAACUCCGGUGGUAUAAGAUGGACCCGCGUUGGAUUAGCUAGUUGGCAGGGUAACGGCCUACCAAGGCGACGAUCCAUAGCCGGCCUGAGAGGGUGAACGGCCACAUUGGGACUGAGACACGGCCCAGACUCCUACGCGAGGCAGCAGUGGGGAAUAUUGCACAAUGGGGGAAACCAUGAUGCAGCGACGCCGCGUGAAGGAAGAAGUAUCUCGGUAUGUAAACUUCUAUCAGCAGGGAAGAUAGUGACGGUACCUGACUAAGAAGCCCCGGCUAACUACGUG